rnacentral:rRNA from 1 species
GCGCAAUGGGGCAACCCUGACGCAGCGACGCCGCGUGGAUGAUGAAGGCUUCAGGUUGUAAAAUCCUGUCAGAUGGGAAGAAGUGCUAUCAUCGGUUAAUAUCUGUAUAGUUUGACGGUACCAUCAAAGGAAGCACCGGCUAACUCCGUGCCAGCAGCCGCGGUAAUACGGAGGGUGCAAGCGUUGUUCGGAAUUACUGGGCGUAAAGCGCGCGUAGGCGGCUAUGUAAGUCAGAUGUGAAAGCCCGCGGCUCAACCGUGGAAGUGCAUUUGAAACUGUAUAGCUUGAGUACUGGAGGGGGUAGUGGAAUUCCCGGUGUAGAGGUGAAAUUCGUAGAUAUACGGGAGGAAUACCGGUGGCGAAGGCGACUACCUGGCCAGAUACUGACGCUGAGGUGCGAAAUU